AGGUAGUAUGAAUAAAACCUAUUUAUAAUGGCGGCAUUUAUUUUAAUUAGAGGAACUUGUCAUUUAAUCGAUAACCCACGAUAAAUUUUACUAAAAUUAUUAAUUUAUAUACCUCCAUCUAAAGAUUUAAUUUAAAAAUAUUCUUCUUAAUAAAAAAUAAAAAGUUAGGUCAAGGUGUAAUCAACAUUUUAGAAUAAGAUGAGUUACAUUAAACUUUAUUUAAGAAUGUAAUAUUAAUAAAUUUUAUUGAAAAAGGAUUUAAAAGUAAUUUUAUUUAAUAAUAAUCUAAAAUGAAAUAAAAAAUAAAUGUGC
rnacentral:rRNA from 1 species